rnacentral:lncRNA from 1 species
AUGUGCAGCCGUAGCCUCCUCGUUCGUCUUCUCAGGACUCCAGAGAACCGUUGGGGAACUUUGGGGUGUGCUCGGAAAAUGCAGGCUGAACCACAGCCCUCUGUACUCGCCCAGGAGCCACAGAAAGUGAACAUUCCUCAGAAGCCUGAGGUGAGAUGUCUGGCCAUGUUGCUGGUGCCGUCGCCCUCAAGAAGCCAAACAGGCUCUCAGAGUCUCUCAGGCCCUGCCCCCGGACAUGGCCCCACCCCAGAGCAUGCUGGGCAGGACCUCCCCAUAGAUCCCUCCCAUUGCCAAUGUAUUCCUCCAGAGGAUUCUGAGCUCUGCUUGGUGUUUCCAGCUGUGAUGAGAGUCCUGCUUUCCCAUAGGAACUGGAAUCUGGGAAAAAGGAAAACAGUACUAGAAGCAGAACAAGAGUGUGGGAUCACUCCUGGGUGGUACUGUCACCUCAUUUGGACAGUUCACUGCCUAGAUAUGCUGAGUGUGCAAAUUUUGUCUCGUUGCCUCGUCCAGUGUUUCUCUGAAUAG